rnacentral:pre_miRNA from 1 species
AACACCUUAAUCACCAAUGUGAUUGUGAUAACAGCAAACGCAUUGGAUUAAGGUGG